AACCUAAGGCGGGCUGCCGUGCCUGUGAUCCCGAUUCGUAUAUACUUAUCUAUUGUGUAUGUUACGUUGCAUUGCCCUACAUUUAGCCGUAGUGAAUCUCUAUAGUAUCCCGCCGAAGUGCAAUACACAACUUGUAAUCGUAUAAGUGAAUUUCGGAGAGCUAACUUACGCUUUAUGCCGUUGACCUUCGACCAAUUUGCCAUUGACUACAACAGUUUGACUAUACGCGUGGAAAAGCGGUAAACGAAAAAAAAAACAUCCACGCUUUCAAAGUGCGGCGCAUUGAACACUCGCGUUUGCAUUGGGUAAUUUGCGUAAGUGUACACGUCGCGACGAUUCAUCGACACCCACGCCCAUCCAUAUUCCAACUCACGCACCCCAGCGACGAUUCAUCUACGGGUCACGUUUGCCUUGCCUAUCAUAUCGCCUCCGGCGAUCUUCUGGCGAACUUCAAACUUGUUUUGCUGACCAACGAGGUAAGCGAAUGUUACUUUACUCCCGCAAUAGAACAGCGUUUAGAUUUUUCACGGGCCAGGGCAGACGAUCGCGACACAC